AGUGGAAUUGCUAUAUUUUAUGGUAAUCCUAUGUUAUAUUUUUGAGCAGUCACCAUACUGUUUUUCACAGUGUCUGUACCAUUUUGCAUUCCCAUCAGCAAU
rnacentral:pre_miRNA from 1 species